AUGGCAGACGGCUCCAGGGACAUUAGCAGGCGGCGGAAUCCAGCGGACAAGCUCACCGAAGACCUCGUCGUCGAGAUCCUGUCGCGCGUGCCGUACAAGUCGCUGUGCCGGUUCAAGUGCGUCUCCAAGCGGUGGCGCGGCAUCAUCUCCCACCCCGACCACCGCAAGGCGCUGCCGCAGCACCAUCUCCAUGACCUCGCCGGAUUCCUCUACUCGAGCCGCGGCCCCGGCCCUGACUAUUUAUCAAUUCACAAUUUCAACCAUGUCUCGCCGGGAGGCCGCCCUCCUAUCCGCCCUACACUCCCCUUCCUGCCUGACUGCGAGCUAUUCGACCUUCUGGAUAGCUGCAACGGCCUGCUCCUCUGCCGCCGCUUCGAGACCGCUUAUUCGCGGGCAUUCGACUACGUGGUGUGCAAUCCUGCCACGGAGAAAUGGGUUGCUUUGCCCGGCUUCUUCAGCAAGAUGCAGGCAGCUCGCUUGGGGUUCGACCGGGCCGUGUCCUCGCACUUCCAUGUGUUCCAGUUCGUGGAGGAUGGGGCUGCAGAUGCAAAUGCCGAUACAGACGACGAUGAUGAUGGCGAUAGUUUUGGGCACGUCAGAGCGGUUGACAUCUACUCGUCCAAAACCGGGGCCUGGACUCACAAGGACAGCGGUUGGGACUUCCUACCUAGGAUAGUGAGUGAUUCUAGAAGUGUCUUUGUCAAUGGUUUUCUGCAUUUGCUCGCCAUCGAGUCUACGGUGGUGGCAAUGGAUGUGGAGGGAACUACUUGGAGGGCUAUUCCUAUGCCGGACGAUGAGGAUGCCCCCAUAAUAGAUGUUGAUGUCGGGUUCAUUGACCUGUCUCGAGGGCGUUUGUAUCUGGCAAAUAGUGAUCAGCAUGAUUUUGAUAAACUGUCGAUCUGGGUUCUCGAGGACUACGGCGGUGAAGCGUGGGUCUUGGAGCACAGUGUCAGGUAUGUGAAUCUAUUUGGAGUGAAGAAUGUCCGGCUGGGAGACGAGUACCAUAUUGUCGCCCUCCACCCACAAUGA
rnacentral:rRNA from 1 species